rnacentral:rRNA from 1 species
AGUGAACGCUGGGGUAGGCCUAACACAUGCAAGUCGAACGGCAGCACAGUAAGAGCUUGCUCUUACGGGUGUCGAGUGGCGGACGGGUGAGGAAUACAUCGGAAUCUACUUUUUCGGGGGGGAUAACGUAGGGAAACUUACGCUAAUACCGCAUACGACCUACGGGUGAAAGCAGGGGAUCUUCUGACCUUGCGCGAUUGAAUGAGCCGAUGUCGGAUUAGCUAGUUGGCGGGGUAAAGGCCCACCAAGGCGACGAUCCGUAGCUGGUCUGAGAGGAUGAUCAGCCACACUGGAACUGAGACACGGUCCAGACUCCUACGGGAGGCAGCAGUGGGGAAUAUUGGACAAUGGGCGCAAGCCUGAUCCAGCAAUACCGCGUGGGUGAAGAAGGCCUUCGGGUUGUAAAGCCCUUUUGUUGGGAAAGAAAAGCAGCAGGUUAAUACGCCGCUGUUCUGACGGUACCCAAAGAAUAAGCACCGGCUAACUUCGUG